rnacentral:rRNA from 1 species
ACUCCUACGGGAGGCAGCAGUGGGGAAUAUUGCACAAUGGGCGCAAGCCUGAUGCAGCCAUGCCGCGUGUGUGAAGAAGCUCCGUUCGAUGUAAGCACUUUCAGUCGUGAGGAAGGUAGUGUAGUUAAUAGCUGCAUUAUUUGACGUUAGCGACAGAAGAAGCACCGGCUAACUCCGUGCCAGCAGCCGCGGUAAUACGGAGGGUGCGAGCGUUAAUCGGAAUUACUGGGCGUAAAGCGCAUGCAGGUGGUUUGUUAAGUCAGAUGUGAAAGCCCGGGGCUCAACCUCGGAAUUGCAUUUGAAACUGGCAGACUAGAGUACUGUAGAGGGGGGUAGAAUUUCAGGUGUAGCGGUGAAAUGCGUAGAGAUCUGAAGGAAUACCGGUGGCGAAGGCGGCCCCCUGGACAGAUACUGACACUCAGAUGCGAAAGCGUGGGGAGCAAACAGGAUUAGAUACCCUGGUAGGAUAGCGU